GUUGAAACGCUGGUUCUGCUACGAUUACCGAAGUUAAGCAAGGUAGAGUCUGGUCAGUACUUAGAUGGGCGACCACUUGAGAAUACCUGGUUCUGUA